rnacentral:rRNA from 1 species
GACGAACGCUGGCGGCGUGCUUAACACAUGCAAGUCGAACGGAAAGGCCCUGCUUUUGUGGGGUGCUCGAGUGGCGAACGGGUGAGUAACACGUGAGUAACCUGCCCUUGACUUUGGGAUAACUUCAGGAAACUGGGGCUAAUACCGGAUAGGAGCUCCUGCUGCAUGGUGGGGGUUGGAAAGUUUCGGCGGUUGGGGAUGGACUCGCGGCUUAUCAGCUUGUUGGUGGGGUAGUGGCUUACCAAGGCUUUGACGGGUAGCCGGCCUGAGAGGGUGACCGGCCAAUUGGGGAUGGAGAACCGCCCAAGACCCUGAGGGGGGGAAGGGGGGGGGAAUAUGGCAAAAGGGGGGGAAGCCGGAUGAAGCAACGCCGGGGGGGGGAAGCCGCCCUUGGGGUUGAAAACCGUUUUCGCUGGGAAGGAAGGGGGGGGGAGGGUAAGGGGUAAAGAAACACCGGAUAACUAGGU